rfam:Hebeloma cylindrosporum h7 unplaced genomic scaffold scaffold_62, whole genome shotgun sequence.
GGUCUUUUCGUAUAAUGGUUAGUACAAUUCCCCUUCAAGGAAUAAAUAUCAGUUCAAAUCUGAUAAGGAUCA